rnacentral:lncRNA from 1 species
AUUAUCUUGAAUUUGCUUGAAUCUAUUUACUUGAAAUGUUGAAGCUUUGUUAAGAUUGAUUAAGCUCCUUGAAUAUUUUAAAAAGUUUGUUGUUACUACACACAUGUUUCAAAGUAUUCAUUUAUGAGCUUUAAUAUAUAAAAUAUCAAUUGUUUAAGAGAACUAUAGGACUUUAACCAUCAAGUUAAAGAUAAUUUUGCUGACUUUAGUAUUCUUAAUGGAUAUGUUACGCUUUUGUUGCGAUUGAGGAAAGUAAAUUAACAGCAGGUCACUUCUAGGUUUUGCCCAAGAAUUUUUUUUUAUGCAAAUGAUUCUUUAAAUUCAUCAUCCAUGGAGUUUCAUUACAAUGUUCAAAUGUGAAUUUUCAGAAUAGUAGUAAUUUGUAUGUAUAGACACAUCAGGUAUGCUUUUAGGCACGAUAUUAUAAAGUUAUGUUUCAUGAUCAACAAGAUACUGACAUACCUAACGACCCUCUGGUUUUGAACUGGUUGUAUUUAUAACUAAUAGGUUAUGGACAUUCCAAAUCAAAACUCUUUUUACAAAAAAUUUCUAGAGGAAAAAUACUAGUACUUCAUGAAAAUUUCAGUAUAAAUUGCUCUCAAUUUUUUUUAUAUUCUUUGGGAAUAGAGUCCCAACAAAAUAAUUUAGACUACAGUAUUUUUGUUC